CCUACGGGUGGCAGCAGUGGGGGAUAUUGCACAAUGGGGGAAACCCUGAUGCAGCGACGCCGCGUGGGUGAUGAAGCGCUUCGGCGCGUAAAGCCCUGUCAGCAGGGAAGAAAAUGACGGUACCUGAUGAAGAAGCCCCGGCUAACUACGUGCCAGCAGCCGCGGUAAUACGUAGGGGGCACGCGUUAUCCGGAAUUACUGGGGGUAAAGGGGGGGCAGACGGUGAUGUAAGCCAGGAGUGAAAGGCUGAGGCCCAACCCGGGGACAGCUCUGGAAACUGCGUGACUAGAGUGCAGGAGAGGAGAGCGGAAUUCCUGGUGUAGCGGUGAAAUGCGUAGAUAUCAGGAGGAACACCAGUGGCGAAGGCGGCCUGCUGGACUGCAACUGACGCUGAGGCCCGAAAGCGUGGGGAGCAAACAGGAUUAGAUACCCGAGUAGUC
rnacentral:rRNA from 1 species